AUGAGAACUUGUUCUCAACUGGCUUACCUGGUUAAAUAAAGAUGGUGAGGCUGCUUCUCUCCAGAGGAGCCAACAUUAAUGCCUUUGACAAGAAGGAUCGCCGAGCAAUCCACUGGGCUGCUUACAUGGGGCACAUUGAGGUGGUGAAACUGCUGGCCUCUCAUGGAUCAGAGGUGUCCUGUAAAGACAAGAAGGCCUACACCCCUCUCCACUCUGCAGCCUCCAGUGUUAUGAUCAGUGUGGUCAAGUACCUCCUGGACCUUGGUGUG